rnacentral:misc_RNA from 1 species
AACGCAUAUUGCGCCCUCUGGCAUUCCGGAGGGCAUGCCUGUCCGAGCGUCAUUGCAAACCCUCAAGCGCGGCUUGCGUGAUGGGCCACAGCGUCUGCUCCCCCGCAGACGGGCCUGAAAGGUAGCGGCAGCGCGGUGCGAUCAGCCACAGUGUAUGGAGACUUCCUGUCACACGCUGGCGGCGCGUACCCACGCUCGUCCCCCUCAUUCUCUCGUGGUUUGACCUCGGAUCAGGUAGGGAUACCCGCUGAACUUAA